rnacentral:rRNA from 1 species
AGCAGCCGCGGUAAUUCCAGCUCCAAUAGCGUAUAUUAAAGUUGCUGCAGUUAAAAAGCUCGUAGUUGAAUUUCGGGACCGAUAUAUCGGUCGUGCCUCGGUACGUACUGGUAUUUUCGGUUUCUACCUUCUGACGAACCUUGAUGUCAUUAAUUUGGUGUCUUGGGGAAUCAGGACUGUUACUUUGAAAAAAUCAGAGUGUUUAAAGCAGGCAUUAGCUUGAAUACAUUAGCAUGGAAUAAUGAAAUAGGACGUUUGAUCCUAUUUUGUUGGUUUCUAGGACCACCGUAAUGAUUAAUAGGGAUAGUUGGGGGCAUUAGUAUUCAAUUGUCAGAGGUGAAAUUCUUGGAUUUAUUGAAGACUAACUUCUGCGAAAGCAUUUGCCAAGGAUGUUUUCAUUAAUCAAGAACGAAAGUUAGGGGAUCGAAGACGAUCAGAUACCGUCGUAGUCUUAACCAUAAACUAUGCCGACUAGGGAUCGGACGAAGUUAAUUUUUUUAAUGACUCGUUCGGCGCCUUA